rnacentral:rRNA from 1 species
CGGACGGGUGAGUAACGCGUGAGCAAUCUGCCGGGAAGUGGGGGAUAGCUCGCCGAAAGGCGAAUUAAUACCGCAUGUGGCCAGGGGGGACAUCCCUUCGACGCCAAAGUCGCAAGACGCUUCCUGAUGAGCUCGCGGCCUAUCAGCUUGUUGGUGAGGUAACGGCUCACCAAGGCUAUGACGGGUAGCUGGUCUGAGAGGACGACCAGCCACACUGGAACUGAGACACGGUCCAGACACCUACGGGUGGCAGCAGUCGAGAAUUUUUCACAACGGGGGAAACCCUGAUGGAGCGACGCCGCGUGGAGGAUGAAGGUCUUCGGAUUGUAAACUCCUGUCAUGCGAGAACAAGAAAGUGAUAGUAUCGCAAGAGGAAGAGACGGCUAACUCUGUGCCAGCAGCCGCGGUAAUACAGAGGUCUCAAGCGUUGUUCGGAUUCAUUGGGCGUAAAGGGUGCGUAGGCGGCGUGGUAAGUUGAGUGUGAAAUCCUAGGGCUUAACCUUAGAACUGCACUCAAUACUGCCAUGCUAGAGGAAUGUAGAGGAGAGUGGAAUUCACGGUGUAGCAGUGAAAUGCGUAGAUAUCGUGAGGAAGACCAGUUGCGAAGGCGACUCUCUGGGCAUUUCCUGACGCUGAGGCACGAGGGCCAGGGGAGCAAAAGGGAUUAGAUACCCCUGUAGUC